GACGAACCGUGCGAACGUUGUUCGGAAUCACUGGGCUUAAAGGGCGCGUAGGCGGUUGAUCAAGUCUGGGGUGAAAUCUUUCGGCUUAACCGGAAAAGUGCCUUGGAUACUGGUCAGCUGGAGGGAGGUAGGGGCAGUUGGAACUUCCAGUGGAGCGGUGAAAUGCGUUGAUAUUGGAAGGAACGCCGGUGGCGAAAGCGAGCUGCUGGACCUCUUCUGACGCUGAUGCGCGAAAGCUAGGGGAGCAAACGGGG
rnacentral:rRNA from 1 species